rnacentral:rRNA from 1 species
AUUGAACGCUGGCGGCAUGCCUUACACAUGCAAGUCGAACGGCAGCACGGGAGCAAUCCUGGUGGCGAGUGGCGAACGGGUGAGUAAUAUAUCGGAACGUGCCCAGUUGUGGGGGAUAGCCCGGCGAAAGCCGGAUUAAUACCGCAUAAGACCUACGGGUGAAAGCGGGGGAUUCGCAAGAACCUCGCGCGGCUGGAGCGGCCGAUAUCAGAUUAGCUUGUUGGCGGGGUAAAAGCCCACCAAGGCGACGAUCUGUAGCUGGUCUGAGAGGACGACCAGCCACACUGGGACUGAGACACGGCCCAGACUCCUACGGGAGGCAGCAGUGGGGAAUUUUGGACAAUGGGCGCAAGCCUGAUCCAGCCAUGCCGCGUGUGGGAAGAAGGCCU